AAGUCGUAACAAGGUAUCCUUCCGCGAACCUAAGGAAGCCUUUGCACCCUCGCAAGAGGGGAGCCCCCGCGACUGUAAACAAGGGGCGAAGCAGGUAGCUCUCGCAGCUGCAACACGAUCGAAUUGCGGGGGACGUCCUAAAGUUCGACGGUACCAAACUUGGGGGGGGUAAAACCCCCCCGAGGGCCCGCGCCGUGAGGCGUGGGGUGGUUAGAAUCCGUCGAGAUGCUACAAUGGACCAUCCGCAGCGAAGCCCCUAACGGCCUAGGCCUACGGGGAACGUUCACAGACUAAGUGGUUGUGGGUUGGGGCCUUUACAGGCCCUGCCUAAGAUAUAGUCGGGCCGCCAGGGAAAUCUGGCGGGGUGUUUCGCACACUGUAACCGUUCCGUAGGUGAACCUGCGGAAGGAUCAUUACAGAGUUCAUGCCCUUCGGGGUAGACCUCCCACCCUUGUGUAUUAUUACCUUGUUGCUUUGGCGGUGCCGCGUGGCUUCGGCCGCGCCUUGGGCUCUCGAGCCCGAGUGUGCCCGCCAGAGGAAACCUAAACUCUGAAUAUUUUUGUCGUCUGAGUACUAUAUAAUAGUUAAAA
rnacentral:misc_RNA from 1 species